UCUGUAGGUGGCCUGCUAAGUCAGACGUGAAAUCCCUCAGCUUAACUGGGGAACUGCGUCUGAGACUGGUGGGCUUGAGGACAGGAGAGGAACGCGGAAUUCCAGGUGUAGCGGUGAAAUGCGUAGAUAUCUGGAGGAACACCGGUGGCGAAGGCGGCGUUCUGGACUGUUUCUGACACUGAGAGACGAAAGCCAGGGAGCAAACG
rnacentral:rRNA from 1 species